AGAAUGAAAUCUUUGUAAGGCUUUGUCCCGGGCUGUGUUCAGUGCGUGUUGAAAAUAAACAGAAACAGUGCUGUGACCCGAAUGACCAAUUGGAAAACCGGGAGGUUUUGGAUUGUGGGUUGGGGAACGCCGACAACAUGACCACUUCCGUUUAAAUACGCCACUCAUUGCUUCACCCAUCGACCGGAAGAAAACGUACCUCAAGUCUGUUCAAGAAUGUGUUAUUCAGUACAAAUAGUUCCUCAACGUAGCAAACGUUUAAGCGAACUGAACGCACCUCCUGUUCAGAGGUAACACUACACUGAAGAGGCAUACAACCACAGGAUAUGAAUCCUGACACUUCAAGUCAGCUCCGCUUAGAGAGUGGGAGCGGAGAGCAGACAGACGGGGCUUGCUGAAACUAUAAGAUCACAAACAUUGAACAUCUGGGGGUUCCUGAGGAGGGGGUUGAGAACCACCUAGCAGACCAGUGUGUACCUGUGGUCUCAGGUCUCUGUGAAGAAGGCCCAGGUAGGUCAUGGACAUGCUUCAGGGCCAUGCAGAUUUUGACAAACCAGUCCAUGAUCUGGGAUGAAAUCCAGUCAGUAAUUUAGGUUUAGCCUAAAACAAAAUAAUUUAGAUGUAGUGUCAUAAAUAGAAAUGGCUGUGUUCCAGGCUGACUACAUUACAGAAGCCUGCCAGAUCUCACAACAAUUUGAUAGGUGAACAUAUCAGCUAAGCUAUGAUAUAUCAAUCUGACAACCGAUUGCACAGUAGAUGACUUGGCAUGCAACAAUUGGUUGAUGCAAUGCGACAUCUGCAAUGUAGUCAGUUUGGAACGCAAUCAAUAUGUGUAUGUGUCCAAUAACAUUUGAUUUGGAUAACAAGCUCAACAAUUAUUUUGUCAUUUUAAUCAUUUUACCUAUAUUAAACUGUAUUGUUAUGAAAUGCAGCCGACAAUAAAUUGUUAAUUAAAUGCAGAGGUAGGAUCAAUUAGUUAGCCAAUUCACUUAAAUGAACAACCAGAAAUAUGUAUAGCUUUUCUGGUUUAUUAAGAAAGCUAAACGUAUGUAUCUUUGGUUGUUGUUGUUGUUUUGUCAAUUAGACCAGUGAUUCUCAACUGGGAGGAUUUUAAGGGGUCACAGGACUUGUGCAUGAUGAAUUGAUGGGAAAUGAUGUAAAUAUAUCACUAGCCACUUUAAACAAUGCUACCUUAUAUAAUGUUACUUACCCUACAUUGUUCAUCUCAUAUGCAUACGUUGAUACUGUACUCUA